GCCCUACGGGAGGCAGCAGUGAGGAAUAUUGGUCAAUGGGCUUACGCCUGAACCAGCCAAGUCGCGUGAGGGAAGACUGCCCUAUGGGUUGUAAACCUCUUGUGUCAGGGAGCAAAGCCGGCUACGUGUAGCCGGACUGAGAGUACCUGAAGAAAAAGCAUCGGCUAACACCGCGCCAGCAGCCGCGGUAAUACGGAGGAUGCGAGCGUUAUACGGAUUUAUUGGGUCUAAAGGGUGCGUAGGCGGAAUGCCAAGUCAGCGGUAAAAUCGCGGGGCUCAACCUCGCUCCGCCGUU
rnacentral:rRNA from 1 species